UUUAGAAAGUGUUGGUGUAUACUUUGUUUCAUUUCUUUCGUUUCUGAUUAGGGUUCUUUAAUUAAGCUGAAUUCUGUUACUUAUUGGAUUGAUCAAUUUCUGCAGUUUUGUCAAAAAAAGAAAAUAAUCAAUAUUUUUGGAAAGGUUUUGGUGGGAUUCCUAGGGCUUUAGAUACGCUUAAGAUGACCCGCUUUGUGCUUGGCUUGAAAUGUUUGAGUGGUCGAAACUUCGAACUACUGCCCCACUUUUUAACAAGUGGCGCCAAACACGAGCUACAUUUUGGUGAAAUAUUUUCUCUUGUGAGGUACGUUUCACAUGACAAUCAUUGUAUUUGUGAAGGGCUUCCGAAUUCGAAAGCUGAUAGGAAAGAGAAACCCUCAAUGCCUUCCGAGAAUCGUCGAAGCGCUUUGGGAUUAGCUAUGUUCGAGUUUCUCUUUUGCAUCCUUCAUCGCAGACAACUUGGAGUUGUGCAAGCUUGUCCAACUUUUCCCAAAAUUGGAAAUCGGUUGGCUUCUUAUUAUUAUCGUAAAUACUACUAUUACUUAUGUUGUGUGCAAAUUGUUACUUAUGGUGACAGA